rnacentral:rRNA from 1 species
AUACGGAGGAUCCGAGCGUUAUCCGGAUUUAUUGGGUUUAAAGGGUGCGCAGGCGGGAGAUUAAGUCGGCGGUGAAAUUUUGCAUCUCAACUGUAAAAGUGCCUUCGAAACUGGUUUCCUUGAGUGUAGAUGAAGUAGGCGGAAUUUGUGGUGUAGCGGUGAAAUGCAUAGAUAUCACGAGGAACUCCGAUUGCGCAGGCAGCUUACUAAACUACUACUGACGCUCAGGCACGAAGGCGUGGGGAUCAAACAGGAUUAGAUACCCUGGUAGUCCACGCAGUAAACGAUGAUUACUAGCUGUUUGCGAUACAAUGUAAGCGGCUGAGCGAAAGCGUUAAGUAAUCCACCUGGGGAGUACGUUCGCAAGAAUGAAACUCAAAUGAAUUGACGGGG